CUCUUCGUUUAUGUGCCGCCGAGGCCGUCCUCCCUCCUCUGGCCUCCUCGCGCCGCCUUGGUAACAGCGCCCAGACGGCCACGGCGCCACUCCCCUCCCGCGCACUCCGGCUGCGGCACCAGGAAGAGCGCUUAUAGCAAAAUGGCAGCCACGCGAUGGGGAAUCGCCAGCGCAGGCAUGAUUGCCAGUGACUUCGUGAGUGCUUUGAAGGCGCUUCCGGCAGAGGAGCAUCGAUUAGUUGCAGUGGCGGCGCGCUCCCUCGAAAGCGCCCAGGCCUUCAGGGACAAGCACUGCGUCGAGAAGGCUUACGAGUCGUAUGCCAGACUGGCAGAAGACCCAGAAAUAGAUGUGGUGUACGUAGGAGUGAUUCAGGUGCACCAUUUGGCCGUGGCUUCCAUGAUGCUGGAGGCAGGAAAGCACGUGCUGUGUGAGAAGCCUCUCUGCAUGAACGUCCAAGAAACGAAACAGCUGAUCAACCUUGCUAGGGAGAAGGAGGUCUUUCUCAUGGAGGCGGUGUGGUCCCGAUUCUUUCCCGUUUAUCGCGAGAUGAUGAAGAGGGUCGCAGCUGGAGAAAUCGGUGAUGUGGUUCAGGUUCUUGCUUCCUUUGGCAAAUCUGCAGAGCACGUGGAACGCCUGGUGAGGAAAGACACGGGUGGAGGAGCCACACUAGACAUGGGGAUUUACACCGUUCAGUUUGCCACGCUGGUGAUGAACGGUGACAAGCCCCUGAAGGUGCUAGCCGGAGGUCAUCUCAACCAGGAGGGUGUAGACGUGGUGACAAGCGCCACCCUCGUGUAUCCGAAGGGCCGGACGGCCUCGCUCAGCACCACCAUAAGAGCUGAUCUUCCGAGCGAGGCCUUCGUCGUGGGGACGAAAGGCACAAUCAAGGUCAGGAGCAUUCUUCCUCUCUGGUCAAUUACCCGAUGUGGUGUCCCGAAUCCUUCGAAUCGCCCUCUGGGACAUACACUUCGCCCUUGCCAGUGACAGGUCAGACAUACAACUUCAAUAACAGUCAAGGUCUCAUGUAUGAGGCAGCCGAGGUCAGGCGUUGCAUAAACGCAGGUCUGCUAGAGAGCCCAGGGAUGACUCACGGGGAUUCCAUAACCAUAGCCGAGAUCAUGGAGCAGAUGAGGGCACAGGUGGGAGUCAUUUAGAAACAGGAGAAGCAGUCCCCGUGCGCCAGACGCUUUUCCGAAAUUCUACGUCUUCAGAAAUGUUUUGAAAGAUAUUCUCAAAUAAACUUUACAGAGA